ensembl:lncRNA
GAGGUUCCUUUUAUUUCUGCUAAGUAAUGAAUAUGUUAGUUUUGCUUCUGUUUUUAAUGUGAUGAGCUUUUUAAAAGAGGCUGAUCAGGAGCCAUUUCUGACUAUUAACUGCUGUCUGCAUGUCAUCAAACAAUGAAAGCAGUGGUUGGAUUUAUGGUGAUUCUACUGGGGGUGUCUCAUGGUGUGGGAACUUACUGUGAUGGCAGACAGGAUGGAGCUCAGUGUUAUGGAGCUUUGGGAGGAACUGUGGACAUCCAGCUGAUGGACAGCACCUCAGAAAUACCUAGAUACCAACUGUUAAAGAAUUCAUUAAAAAUACUAUAUGUGAGAGAGAAAAUGAUUCUCUCUAAUACCAUAAAACAUAGAUCUGUCUUUUUUCCUAGUAAUGGAACAUUUAGGAUCAAUAACUUGAGCAGGACAGACAGUGGUAAUUAUACCUUUCAAACCUUUGAUUCAAAUGGAAGAUCAUCAGGCGAGCGGACUUUAGGGUUGUUUUUUCAAGCUCCCGUGUCCUCUGUCCUGCUGGUCUCUGAGUGUCUGUCCCAGGGAGAGAUGAGGGUGUCCUGCUCCUCUGAGGGAGGGGACAGUCCUCAGUACAGCUGGACUCUGGAUGGACGCACACUGACAGAUGCUGAGCUCCUUCCUGGAAAUAUUAAGACUAACAUCAUCACUCUGAAACAGCACGUCUCAGGACAUCUGGUCUGCUCAGUCGAAAACCUCGUUAGUAAAGUCUCCAAAGAACAGAGGAUAUCUACCUGUGGCUUCAUUUUCAUCAACUGCACUUCAGUCAAUGGGACACAAGUAUCAGGGUGGGUGUAUGAAGCCAAUAACACCCUGUGCAUUGAAUCAACAAGUGAACCUACCACAACCACACAAACUGCAGUGGGAAAUUUGCCACUGAUCAGUGGUGUUCUCUCAACACUUAUAAUUUUCUUAGUUGUGGUUGGAACAGCAAUCUGUGCUCAACGGAAAAAGCAAAACAGCAAAGCAAAAGAGGAAGAAAAUGACCAGGAAGAAAUCUUUGCUGAUCUCAGGGUCGUGAAACGGCAGGCGAAACAACUGGAGAAAAGAGCGGAGCUAGAGUUUGGCCAAGUCAAGUAUUCAAAGCGUCCUCGGCAGACUGAACCAACAGGAGAUGAUUGUUUGUAUGUUAACGUCCAUAAAUUCAGGUGAUUUAAGUGUUCAGUGCUUCUACACAGACUGCAUCACUGAAGAUGCAUGGAGAGAGGAGCUGAUGUCAAAAUGUCUAAAGGUCUUUCAUUUAAUGUGAUUUCCCAUCAGAAAAAUGUAAAAGAGCUAAUACUUACUGAUUUAUUUUACCAUCA